rnacentral:rRNA from 1 species
AUGGCGACCGGCGCACGGGUGAGUAACACGUAUCCAACCUGCCGAUGACUCGGGGAUAGCCUUUCGAAAGAAAGAUUAAUACCCGAUGGCAUAGUUCUUCCGCAUGGUAGAACUAUUAAAGAAUUUCGGUCAUCGAUGGGGAUGCGUUCCAUUAGGCAGUUGGUGGGGUAACGGCCCACCAAACCUUCGAUGGAUAGGGGUUCUGAGAGGAAGGUCCCCCACAUUGGAACUGAGACACGGUCCAAACUCCUACGGGAGGCAGCAUG